GUUGUAUAGUCAAGUAAUUAAGUGCAUGUGGUGGAUGCCUUGGCAGUCAGAGGCGAUGAAAGACGUGAUAGCCUGCGAAAAGCUCCGGGGAGGCGGCAAAUAUCCUUUGAUCCGGAGAUGUCUGAAUGGGGGAACCCACCUACUUUAAGGUAGGUAUUGCAACAUGAAUACAUAGUGUUGCAAGGCGAACGAGGGGAAGUGAAACAUCUCAGUACCCUUAGGAAAAGAAAUCAAUUGAGAUUCCCUCAGUAGCGGCGAGCGAACGGGGAUCAGCCCAUUAAGUUAUGUGUGUUUUAGUGGAACGCUCUGGGAAGUGCGAACGUAGAGGGUGAUAUUCCCGUACACGAAAGGGCACACAUAAUGAUGACGAGUAGGGCGAGGCACGUGAAACCUUGUCUGAAUAUGGGGGGACCAUCCUCCAAGGCUAAAUACUCCUGACUGACCGAUAGUGAACCAGUACCGUGAGGGAAAGGCGAAAAGAACCCCUGUGAGGGGAGUGAAAUAGAUCCUGAAACCGCAUGCAUACAAGCAGUGGGAGCACCUUCGUGGUGUGACUGCGUACCUUUUGUAUAAUGGGUCAGCGACUUAUAUUCAGUAGCGAGGUUAACCGUAUAGGGGAGCCGUAGAGAAAUCGAGUCUUAAUAGGGCGUUUAGUUGCUGGGUAUAGACCCGAAACCAGGCGAUCUAUCCAUGAGCAGGUUGAAGGUUGGGUAACACUAACUGGAGGACCGAACCCACUGUCGUUGAAAAGCCAGGGGAUGACUUGUGGAUAGGGGUGAAAGGCUAAUCAAGCCUGGUGAUAGCUGGUUCUCCCCGAAAGCUAUUUAGGUAGCGCCUCGGACGAAUACCAUAGGGGGUAGAGCACUGUUUCGGCUAGGGGGUCAUCCCGACUUACCAAACCGAUGCAAACUCCGAAUACCUAUGAGUACUAUCCGGGAGACAGACUGCGGGUGCUAACGUCCGUAGUCAAGAGGAAAACAAUCCAGACCGCCAGCUAAGGCCCCAAAAUCAUAGUUAAGUGGGAAACGAUGUGGGAAGGCAUAGACAGCUAGGAGGUUGGCUUAGAAGCAGCCACCCUUUAAAGAAAGCGUAAUAGCUCACUAGUCGAGUCGGCCUGCGCGGAAGAUGUAACGGGGCUAAAACUAUGUGCCGAAGCUGCGGAUGUAUACUUUGUAUACGUGGUAGGGGAGCGUUCUGUAAGCCGAUGAAGGUGUGUUGAGAAGCAUGCUGGAGGUAUCAGAAGUGCGAAUGCUGACGUGAGUAACGACAAAACGGGUGAAAAACCCGUUCGCCGAAAGACCAAGGGUUCCAGUCCAACGUUAAUCGGGGCUGGGUGAGUCGACCCCUAAGGCGAGGCCGAAAGGCGUAGUCGAUGGGAAAAUGGUUAAUAUUCCAUUACUUCUGUGUAAUGCGAUGAGAGGACGGAGAAGGCUAAAUCAGCCUGGCGUUGGUUGUCCAGGUGAAAGGAUGUAGGCAUGUAUCUUAGGCAAAUCCGGGGUACUCUAUGCUGAGAUCUGAUAGCAAGCUGUACUUGUACAGCGAAGUGGUUGAUGCCAUGCUUCCAGGAAAAGUCUCUAAGCUUCAGUUACACAGGAAUCGUACCCGAAACCGACACAGGUGGUCAGGUCGAGUAGACCAAGGCGCUUGAGAGAACUCUGCUGAAGGAACUAGGCAAAAUGGUACCGUAACUUCGGGAGAAGGUACGCUGUUGUUGGUGAUGGAACUCGCUUCCUGAGCUGACGACAGCCGCAGAAACCAGGCCGCUGCAACUGUUUAUUAAAAACAUAGCACUCUGCAAACACGAAAGUGGACGUAUAGGGUGUGAUGCCUGCCCGGUGCUGGAAGGUUAAUUGAUGGGGUUAGCGUAAGCGAAGCUCUUGAUCGAAGCCCCAGUAAACGGCGGCCGUAACUAUAACGGUCCUAAGGUAGCGAAAUUCCUUGUCGGGUAAGUUCCGACCUGCACGAAUGGCAUAAUGAUGGCGGCGCUGUCUCCAGCAGAGGCUCAGUGAAAUCGAAAUCGCUGUGAAGAUGCAGUGUACCCGCGGCUAGACGGAAAGACCCCGUGAACCUUUACUGCAGCUUGACACUGAACUUUGACCUUACUUGUGUAGGAUAGGUGGGAGGCUUUGAAGCUGGAACGCUAGUUCCAGUGGAGCCGUCCUUGAAAUACCACCCUGGUAAUGUUGAGGUUCUAACUCUGUCCCGUGAUCCGGGACGAGGACCGUGUCUGGUGGGUAGUUUGACUGGGGCGGUCUCCUCCUAAAGAGUAACGGAGGAGUACGAAGGUGCGCUCAGCGUGGUCGGAAAUCACGCGUAGAGUAUAAAGGCAAAAGCGCGCUUAACUGCGAGACCCACAAGUCGAGCAGGUACGAAAGUAGGUCUUAGUGAUCCGGUGGUUCUGUAUGGAAGGGCCAUCGCUCAACGGAUAAAAGGUACUCUGGGGAUAACAGGCUGAUACCGCCCAAGAGUUCAUAUCGACGGCGGUGUUUGGCACCUCGAUGUCGGCUCAUCUCAUCCUGGGGCUGAAGCAGGUCCCAAGGGUAUGGCUGUUCGCCAUUUAAAGAGGUACGCGAGCUGGGUUUAGAACGUCGUGAGACAGUUCGGUCCCUAUCUACCGUGGGCGCUGGAAAUUUGAGAGGAUCUGCUCCUAGUACGAGAGGACCAGAGUGGACGAACCUCUGGUGUACCGGUUGUGACGCCAGUCGCAUCGCCGGGUAGCUAUGUUCGGAAGGGAUAACCGCUGAAAGCAUCUAAGCGGGAAGCCUACCUCAAGAUAAGAUUUCCCUAGGACUUUAUGUCCUCUAAAGAGCCGUUCGAGACUAGGACGUUGAUAGGUGGAUGUGGAAGCAUAGUGAUAUGUGAAAGCUGACCAAUACUAAUUGCUCGUGAGGCUUGACUAUACAACACCCAGCAGUUGUAUAU
rnacentral:rRNA from 1 species